CAUGCUCUUUAAAACUGAUCCAGUUCUUCAGGAGGUUAACACAGAAUGUUAAAGGAUGCCUCAUGAAACUCAGAGAAGAGAGUGGAUACUUCCUCUUUGGAUCUUCUCUACUGCCACAGCU
ensembl:snoRNA small nucleolar RNA SNORA26